rnacentral:rRNA from 1 species
AUUUUUGGACAAUUGGUGAAACCGUGAUCCAGCCAUCCCGCGUGUAUGAUGAAGGCCUUCGGGUUGUAAAGUACUGUUGGCUGAGAAGAAAAGGUAUCUCCUAAUACGAGAUCCUGCUGACGAUACCUGCAGGUUAACCACCGGCUAACUACGUGCCAGCAGCCGCGGUAAUACGUAGGGUGCAAGCGUUAAUCGGAAUUACUGGGCGUAAAGCGUGUGUAGGCGGUUCGGAAAGAAAGAUGUGAAAUCCCAGGGGUCAACCUUGGAACUGCAUUUUUAACUGCCGAGCUAGAGUAUGUCAGAGGGGGGUAGAAUUCCACGUGUAGCAGUGAAAUGCGUAGAUAUGUGGAGGGAUACCGAUGGCGAAGGCAGCCCCCUGGGAUAAUACUGACGCUCAGACACGAAAGCGUGGGGAGCAAACA